CGGCCUACGGGAGGCAGCAGUGAGGAAUAUUGGUCAAUGGCCGCAGGGCUGAACCAGCCAAGUCGCGUGAGGGAUGACGGUCCUAUGGAUUGUAAACCUCUUUUGUCAGGGAGCAAAGGGCGCCACGUGUGGCGUUUUGCAAGUACCUGAAGAAAAAGCAUCGGCUAACUCCGUGCCAGCAGCCGCGGUAAUACGUAGGUGGCGAGCGUUAUCCGGAAUGAUUGGGCGUAAAGGGUGCGUAGGCGGCCUGCUAAGUCUGGAGUGAAAGGUACCGGCUCAACCGGUACAGGCUCUGGAAACUGGCG
rnacentral:rRNA from 1 species